rnacentral:rRNA from 1 species
GCGAAUUCGCCCUUAGAGUUUGAUCCUGGCUCAGAACGAACGCUGGCGGCAGGCCUAACACAUGCAAGUCGAACGCUUCAGCAAUGAAGAGUGGCAGACGGGUGAGUAACGCGUGGGAACCUUCCCAGUGGUACGGAAUAGCCCAGGGAAACUUGGGGUAAUACCGUAUAAGCCCUUAGGGGGAAAGAUUUAUCGCCAUUGGAUGGGCCCGCGUCGGAUUAGCUUGUUGGUGAGGUAAAAGCUCACCAAGGCGACGAUCCGUAGCUGGUCUGAGAGGAUGAUCAGCCACACUGGGACUGAGACACGGCCCAGACUCCUACGGGAGGCAGCAGUGGGGAAUAUUGGACAAUGGGCGCAAGCCUGAUCCAGCCAUGCCGCGUGAGUGACGAAGGCCUUAGGGUUGUAAAGCUCUUUUGGCGGGGACGAUAAUGACGGUACCCGCAGAAUAAGCUCCGGCUAACUUCGUGCCAGCAGCCGCGGUAAUACGAAGGGAGCUAGCGUUGUUCGGAAUUACUGGGCGUAAAGCGCACGUAGGCGGACUUGUUAGUCAGGGGUGAAAUCCCGGGGCCCAACCUCGGAACUGCCUUUGAUACUGCAAGUCUGGAGUCCGGAAGAGGUGGGUGGAAUUCCUAGUGUAGAGGUGAAAUUCGUAGAUAUUAGGAAGAACACCGGUGGCGAA